CGGAGGGAGGGCGCAGGGUAGAGCUCGACGUCCGGCUCAGCUCCGGUGGAAAAAUAACCGGAGCAUCACAGAACACCCAACCAGCUGCCUCAUCGCUUCUGUCGCUCGCCGUGCACGCGUUGCCAAGCCUGCGCACUCAGAAACCUUAAACCAAGCCUUCAAAAUCAUCACUUAGUACUGGUUUGGAUCUCUCUCUGUGCUGCUUCAGUGCCUGUGCCCGAGGGUGCAAGCAGCACUGUUGGAGGUGCUGUAUACCCUGAGCCAGUGUUCAGAGCAUGAUGCCUCAAGCCGGACCGUGGUCGCUCCCCUCCGGCAGCCUCUGCCGGGGCAGAGCGUUCGUGCCCGUUCAGAGGGGAAAAAGGCCGAUCUCAGCUGAAGCCCACAGCGUGUAAUGAUGAUCAGAAAAUACGCUGCUGGAGUGUCAGAGACGAGCCGCACGUCCAUCCCCGCGGAUGACCGCAGCUGGCAGCCGCUCGGGGCCUCGCUCGCAGCCCCCGGAGCCGCCAGCCCCUUCUCCAGAGCACGGCCCUUGCAGGGAACUCGGCGAAGCAAGCACGCCGCGUUUCUGCGGAGGCGCUUUCGGAAAGGCUGGGGGGAACCUCCCCUCUUCCAGCCGCCCCCAUUGCAAGGCGCUCACAGCAGCUGCAGCGAGGAAGACAGUGCAGAUUUUUUUUUUCACAGCAAGAGAAGAUGCAGGAGGUGGGAAGAGGCCAAUUUUUUUUUUCCCGCUUUCUCAUGCGCAAAAGGGUCCUUAUUCAUUUUAAUAGCAGGUUCUCUCACGCAGCAAUCUGCUCCGUCAGCCAGACAGCGCAGAAAGGCUCCUCAUGCAGCUACCUCACGCAGAAUAUCGCCGCUUAGACCUUCUCAUCUGAGGGUGGGAAACUAGGUCCUUGACAAUCUCAAAAUGGAGAGCAUUAGCCCUGAACAAAUAAGUAGAUUGCAAUAAUGGAUACAAUAUGGAGGUUUCCUCGAGGAGCCAAUAUUUGUAUUCUUCACAGCUGCAUCUUCUUCUGUUUGUUUUUUUUUCUUUUUUCUUUUUAGCCUGAAGUGCUCCCAAACGCCUCAUGCCAUAUGGCUGCUUCUUAUUUGCAUCAAAGACCUGAUUCAUCGCCGCUCUGCACUUUGAUAGAUUACGUAUGCUCCUGCAAAGCAGAUAUAAACCGCUCGUCGGCGAGUACAGCGAGCCUCUUCUGCAGCAGUGCUGCCACCGAUCCGAUGCGAAGGAGACGGUGCUCCAGCUCCGCCGUGUCUGCUGAGUGCUGCGGCUGGGAUAGGAACCCCCAACGCAGAGCAGGGGCCCUCGGGCCUCCAUCAAGUGAAAAAAAAAAAUAAAGAGAAAAAAAAAACAAAAAAGGGAAUGGAAACAAUAAUGAGGAAUGGGGUUAUUGUAGGAGAGAGCAAGUAAAAGAGGUUGUUCGGGGACAGUGAAGAAAAUGCCAGAUAGGAAAGAAAUAGCGCUCUGAAGAAAGACAAUGGAGAAAUAGAGUGAAACAAUUGAAUACCCAUGUUAAAGCAGAGCAGGGAAAUCGCUGAUCGUAGGCGAGCAGUUUUUCACAAAGGUGGUGAAGCUUCGUCCGCUUCCAGCACACACGGCUUAGGGGAUGCAAAUAAAGCUCUUUACCUACAUCGUUAAGUUGCAACUUCAGCGCUAACGUGAUGCCACGAGGGAGACGGUUUUUACUCCCUAAAUGUGAAGGGGGCGGCAGUUAGAAAAUGGGAAGCAGCCGGGAAAAUGAGUGAACCUGCAUCAGCUGACGGAGGGUAGGAAACCUGCACCGCGGGCACAGCAGGAGAGGAAACAACGCGAACACGGGGGAGAGCAUCACAUCACACUUGACACGAAAAUAUUUUCGGAUUGCAUCAGGCCUCUGUUGCUGAUGGUUCACCUGCAGCUCGUCCAGAUAUGACAUUUAGAGCAAGUUAAAAAAAGAGAGCGGUAUUUCAACAACUGAAGUCUCAGCCUUUUGUCUGAUGGAAAAAAAUCAGUUCCAAAUGUGGAAAUUUCAAUACAGACUAUAAAUUUGUUACAAUUCAGAUUUAUUCUGCUUGCUCUCUUUCCUUUUUGUCCUUCCCCUCCCCUCAGUUCUUCAGAAAUUGGCUCUGAUGCUUCGUUCCCACUCUCCAAAGACCCUUUGCAGCUGAGUUUCAUGCAGCGGGAAACGAGCCCCUGCCCAGCCUAGCCCAGGGAGCAAACCCACUCCUUCCAAAUCCCCUGUCUUUGGGAUAAAAACACGGUACCCUGGUGCUUCAGCAUCUUGCAAAUUUUAUCUUCUUGCAAGGCAGCAGUGAAGUGUGUCAGUGAUAGGGGUUUUUUAAACAUUUUCAGUCUAGUUUAUAAGAGCUAGUAGUGAACUCAUUUUGGCUUUCUCCCCGCUAGAGCGAGGACAAGCAUCCUCCAGCCCUAAUGUGUUUAAAUCAUUGUUGUUUUGGGCAUUUCUGAGGAUCCAGCUACUCGGAUUACUUAGAACUAUGACUGCAUUCAGGUCAGGCCAGGCAAGCAGACCUGACUUUGCUCCGCUGGCACUGCCACCAGGUCAGCUGAAGAACUGCCUGUGUAUUUACCUUGGGAGCAAUGACGCCGCUCCAGCUCCUCCGAGCCUGAGCCUUCCCACCGCUGAAAUGUCCGACGCAUUCCUGGGGAUCCUGCAGCACCAGGGAGCGAGGCCAGGAUGGGCUCCCUCCUGCAAGGAGAGGCUCUUUGCAGGAAGACCAUGAUUUCCUUCAGCCGUAUGUUUUAGCUCUGGAGCAACAGGUACGGUGCCACAUUGCAUGUGUUUCCCCCGGCAUUUGCUUGGGCCUGCCUGUUUCCAGUGUUUUGUUGCAGCACAGAGUUCUUCAGCCUGUUUGGGUCUGGUUUUUAAUUUUUUUGUUUGCUUCUUGGCUUGGGGGAAGAGUUACAAAUUUAUGGGUAAACACAGCUAGUGUUUGGAAUUAGACUGAAUCAGGAUAUUUGAUUCCUAUCUGGGCCCUUGCUGAAUAAUUCGAGGAGGAACUGAGCAGAAAGACCUUGCAGAAGGUGGUAGAGGCGUGUGGGAGAGACCGGGCAGGUGUCCCACAACCAUCUCCUCUCAUGCUGGUGCAACAGGAGAGCUGGGACUGAGAGAGGCGAGCAACGACUUCCCUGCUCCAGGCUUUUUGGUGAGGAAAGCAUCGGAGCCGGGCAGUGCUCGAGGCCAUGGCAGCCAGCCACUUUCAAGACAGUAAAGGAGAGCUGGAGGGUGCCACGUUCCCCUCGGCCAGAAGGCCAAGGAGCUCUUGCACGCGCCUCCCCAGGGCUCUGCAGAGCUGUCAGCACGAGUCACCACGGGUCCCCUGGCAAACAGCGCUUGCCCCUGGACUCUCAUGGCUCAGCAGAAAGCAGAAGUGAUUUGUUCCUUACAGGGGCUGAGUUCAGCAAGGAACCAGAGCUGCUGCUAAAUAUAAGCAGCCAGGCAUUUGGGUGAAGGCAGCCAGGCAGCCGAACACUCCCGACUCUCGGCACCUUCAGCCUCCAAGGAUCCUCCCGGUUCUGAAGAGGCCCUUCCAGCUGCUUUUCCCCCUCAUUUCAAAAGCAGCUGGAGCGCAAUUAGUUUGCCACGGCUGAUCGGCAGCCUGUGUCGCGCUCCAGAGGAGACGUGCUCCCUUUCGGUGCUCCUGGGCAUCCCCUGUCGAUAUUUACAGGCAUCCUCUGGCAGGGAGCAAGGUGGGCGCUCUGGCUGUCCAUGCUCCCAGCGUGGCUUCUCCUUGCACACAGGGACGUCAGCAGCGGGGCUGCAGCGACAGCCCAGGGUUUAAUUAGCUUUUCCUAAUAGACGCUGUUGCGUAUCCAAUGAACUCGGUUGAACCUGUGAGCUGGUGCGAGUGAAGAUGCAGGUGCCGCUCCAGGUAAGGACACGCCAUGUUUGCACACAGACUGCGCCGUGUAAUAAGUGAGAGAAGGAGUCGUAAAACAGAUGUUCUGUGCAAAGUGCAAAUUACCCAGGCACUGAACUUCAUCCCUUACCACUUAAAGCAGCCAUAAACACGAGGGCUGUUUACUGCAGGCUGCGGAGGGCUUUUUGCACCUUUAUCAUCGCUUUGUACCAGCAGCGUUGUGGAUCCAGUGGUGAUAUUCAGCGAGUUCGUGUGGGAUUUUACGUGAGAACUUCUAUGCAAGGAGUUUCUGGUCUGGGGCGGCAGGUUCGCAGGGGGAUUCUGAGUCCAGCCUGGAGAAAGAAGCACGGACAGCAAAACACGGUGUCCAUCUGCACCUCCAUCGCCUGCCAAACUUGUCUGCCAAGCCAUCCUGGCCUGUCUGUACUGAUGACAAGAAUCUGUCUUCGUUCUUCAUAAGACAACUCUCUUUUUUUUCAGUGAGAUUACCACGGUUCCAGCUGUACCAGGAACACAGACCACUGUGCCCACUGAGAGGGCAGGAAGUACUGUGAACAUUACUGGACUCAGAAGAAAAUCUCUGAACGUGGUUUAAUUUCUUCACUUAAAAUGCCAUUAAUUUUUUUUAAUGACAUAGUGGACAAAACUACAGAGCGUGGAGCGGAGUGCUGGUGUAAUCCAGUGCCUCUGAUGGUAUCACCUGUUUGUUUAGCUAGCGUUGAUUACCGUUAAAUCAUUUCUGCAGCUGCUAACUUGCUGCUGGGUUCAAUGGCAAACAAACUGCAAGUUCUCUGGAAUCGGGGCGAGCGCACCCGUGCGUGCGGAGCAGCGGGCACGUUCCAUCUACCGGCAGGGGAAGCACCCGCUCCCGACACCCUACAGGCUUUCCCCAUUGUGCUUCUUUCCAAAUACACAGCACAGAGUGCUGCUUUGCUCUCGGUGGACCAGAUCCUCAGCUGGAGAAAACACUCCGAAUUCCACCGGGGUGGAUGGAGCAAUGCCAAUACGUACUGGCAGAAAAAUCUGCUCCAGUGUACACAGUUUACUUUUGAGGAUCUAAGCUCAUACGCUUCCAACAAAGUGCUGUUUGAUAAAAGUUUGUUUGCCAGGUUGCCUUGCCUCGGUCUCUCCUGAAGUGUACACAACAGUAUUUUGUAUAUAAUAAGAGAAAAUAAAGCAAAUGUGUUCCAAGACCUCAUUCGCAGGUCCUAGCAAAAAUUCAAGAGAUGGGAGGCUUUGCUAGGCACUAGUUAAAAUAACCAUAAUCAUCAUUAUUAUUGCCAUUCAAGUAUGAAAAAAGAAGUGUUUUUAUUAUGGGCUGGAACUAGAAAUCCAGAGCAGCUGCUAAUUGUGGUAAAUGGGUUGUUGGUUGUUGGUUUGGAGGGGGUUUUGUGCACAGGUAUUUACUGUGUCCAACUGUAAAAAAAUAAACCCCAGCAGGUUCUUGUUAUCCAAGCCUUUCAGCAACCUCCCCGCCCAUGCUCAGAUUGGAAUAUGUUGUAAUUGUAAUAGUCCUCUUAUCUCUCUUUUCUCCCCUUUCUUGUCAAAGGCUUUUCGUUUCCAUUUCUUUAAUAUUUUUUCUUCCCACCCCCCCGCCCUUUUUUGGGGGGGUUAUUAACUCACCUAGGACAGCUGAAUUAGCAAAGAAAAAAUAGAGAAUACAAUUCAAAACUUUCUAAUGGAAGAAUAAGCAUGGUUUUGGCACCGCUUCUUGCCAUUGUUUUGUUAAGACGGACUCUCCUUAACUCUCCUUUUCCACUCCAGAGACUGCCCUUCCUUUAUAAGCCCAGAUUUCUUCCCAUUUGUGCUCUCUUCCCUCCCUCCUGACACAUUUCCACUUCCCACUUUGGCUCUUUCUUUUCUCUUUCCUUUUCCUCUCUCCAAAUGUUCUCUGAUCUUAUAUUCUGCUAUUUUUAAUUCCCUCUUCCCAGGCCUGGAUCCAUCCCCCCAACCUGGUAUCACUGGGGUACGUACCUGUCUAGCCUCUUCCUCUCCCGGCUGAAAGGACAGCCUGGCAAACAUUUCCUCAAAAUCCAACUUUUUUUUAGUCCAGUGACUCGAGAUGAGCGUUGCCUGCCUUUGUGUGGGAAACCUGGCAUCGCCGCUGUCCUCGCACCAUCCUUAUGGCUCUCCAGGAAUUUCAAAAUAUAGUUAAAGCUCCCCUCAAACUUGUCCCAUCUGUUCUGUAAUUUCCGACCCAUCUAACCAGGGCCUUCUUUCCAGGCACUUUGGUCACUGUGCUACUCCU